AUAGGUUGGCUUUGAUUCUGAAAAUUAUGAAAUUUUCUAUUUUUAGUGAAGUUUAAAAUAGUGUAGGGACUGAUAAUGCAUAAUUGAAUAUAAAUCAAUUUUCAUUCCAGAUGCAAUUCCAGGUUUUGGCAAAACUUGCUUGGAUAUCUGAGAGGUUCUUUGUGAGACAUUAUUUUAUCAAUUGUGGAUGUACCAGUAAGUUAGUUUUGCUCUGAAUAUCUAAAACCAGGCAUAGUAGUGUUGAUUCUUCAUGAAGUAAAUAUGCAAAAGGUAAAUGACUGGACAUAUGAUACAGUUUGAUUUCAUCUAUCUUUAAAAGUUUGCUAGACUUUUCUUAGUAAUCCAGUUGAACCUGGAUUGGAAUAAUAAAAUGUAUCUAUGUAGACCUGUCCAAAACUAAUGCACCUAUUUAUUUCCAUUGAAACUACAAUAGAUACAAAGAGCACUAUAACACUAUUUGAUAGAGGAAAUUCUCAGCUACAGAACAAAAUUUUUCAGUGCCUUCACCAUCAUUUAGCCAAUUCAUGUGGAGGAACUGAUUGAGACACUCUUCAUUUUGUGGUGUGACAGCUGUGCAUGGCUGUCUGGAUCAUGGCUUGUAUUUCAUGCUACUGUCACCACUACUGAAAUGCACCAACCACCCCCUUACUGUGCUGACAUCAACUGUUUGGUCUCCAUAAAUGUUCACCAAGCAUUGAUGAAUGUCAGUGGGUGCUAUUUUUUUCCAUACAGAGGGAUUCAGAGAGACACCUUUGUUUCAUACACAUGUCAAUGUCAGAUACUGUUUUGUCAGACUACCAGUCUGCUGCCAUCUGUCACACAGAAAUAAUAUGUGUUGGAGUACUGGGGGAAAAGAUCAAUUUCUACUGCCAUUCCAGCAUCUGCCUCUGAUGUCAUGGGCCAACAUAAUAAAAUAGGAGGCAUUACUUUCGGAGCAGCCCUUGUAGGCAUAAUCCUAUGAACUACAGAACAUCCAGGCUCUGUUCUGAGUAAGCAGCAAACAGUUUAUUUUAAGACUGGAUUUAGAUCUUGAAUAUUUGUAAGCAUCAUCCCUGUGGGGGCUGACAGCAGUAACUGCCCAAGCUCACAUCCAAGGGUAUGUGUGCAGUGGUGUGGAAAGUCCUUAUUCAGUGUCCUGUGGCUUUGGAUCCAUUUGAAUGGAACUUCAAACAGUGUAUAGUCAAGAAGGAAAGCCAGCUUAUCCAGCCACUUAGCAGCAUUGAUUGAAAUCUUGGUGUAGGCACUAUUUGAACUGAGAUUUGCCAAAUAUAGAUUGUAUGUCAACUGCUAACGCCAGAAAUGUGUUUACAAUAACACAGUGAUACAAUAAAAACUAAGAAUAGGAGUUUUACCUUAAGAUUAAUUUGAAAAGACUUUUAGAACUGUGUUUAUUGCUGAAUAUAUCCUAGGGAUACAUAACCCUUAACCUCAGUCCUUCUAGAGAAGCCACACGCUAACAAGCUGGAGGAACUCCACCUGGCCUCAGCAUUAGGAACUUCAUGGGAAAAUAAAAGUGGGAUGAUGUUACUUUUGUUUGAUGUUCCAGUGUGAAACUCUCAGAGGCGGCAUGCUCAAGCAGCUGAAUUAGCAGUGGAAAAACUCAGUAAUGUGCUUGCAUUUACUCUCAGCUGUACUAGUAUGCUAUUACUACAUGGCGUACAAUAAGAUCCAGCUGUCCUCAGUGCCUGAAUGUGACCCAGUCAUAAAUUAUUGUAUAAAUGGCUUGAAUAAGGAUCCAAUAAUAUUUAUUGAAAGAAUACCACCACAUUAGAAUUGUGAUGUUCAUGCUACAUAUGAUUUCAUCUUCAUGUAUGAUACAGAUGGUUGGUAAUUUGUACUUCCUUUUUCCAGAAUAGCAGAUCAGAAUUUAUGGCCGGGUCGCAGAAUCAAGUUACAAUUUCAGUGGUAAGGUAACAAAUGAAAAAGACAAUAUAUUUGUACUUGAAAAUUGCAUCUUUACCUUGAUCACAGUACUGUGGUCCACCUAUACUGCAGAUUUGACUCUCCAGAGGUCCCUUCCAGCUGCUACAUUUCUGUGAUUCUGUGAAAUCAUUGCAUUCCAGAGUAAGUGAACUGACAAAAACAUAAGUAUCAUGGUUGGUUUCUUUUUCUCACUUCUAAUGUGUUUGUACUGAGUUUUCUUUGUGACAUCUGAAAAUAGCUGAGAUAUACGUGGUUUGGAUGUUCUCUAAAGAUUACUUUUUAUCUUUCAGUCCUCUUAAAUACGCUAGUAAUGUAAAACAAACUCAAAACAGACUUUCCAGAAUAAAAAGCAGCACCCUAAGUGUGUUUCUUUUGAAUGCACUAAUGUACUCCAACCCAAAUCAAGUUCAACAAGUUCUCUAAACCUGAUGGAGACUGUUCUCUCUUUAAUGGUAAUCAAGUUUGGACCUUGCCAAAGUUCAUAUUCAUAAAUGAGACACAAUUAUCUGUCUUCUCCUAACACCCUAUGUUAUUGUUCUGGAAACCAUCUAUUCCCAGUGCAGCAGUAUGUUUUACCUGUAGCUUACCUACCCUAUUUACUGUCUACAGCUGAUAUAUACACUUCCAUAUUUAAUGUUAUUAUUUCUCCUGUGAGAGUAAGAUUGAUUUAUGGUAUAUCUGCAUCCAGAAAAUGUAGGGGGUCAUUGACCAGACUAAUUUUCAAAGUAUUGCUACAACCAGACACGUGUUAAAAGGUUAUUUUACUUACUGAAAAAUUAUGACUCCCUUGUUUUGAGACUUAUUUUUUUUUGAGAAGUAAAAAGUGUCUCUCAAUGCAAGAAUGGAUAUUCUCAACAGUAGCGCAGUUAAACCUUGGAUUGUGAUUAAUCUUAAUACUGAAAAGAAUUUAGAAUUAUAAGCUUCCCUAUCGUGUUCAGGAUGUAAGUAGAAGCAAUCAGUGUGAUUGCUUAAAAUAGCCCAGUUUCCAUUUUCCAAUGGGAGUAGCAUACAAAAUUCAUCAAUAGUGUGGGCAUACGUUACUCAGCCAAGUAAUCACCAUCGUCUUUUUAGGCAGUUAAAAUUAAAUUUCAACAUAUUGUAUUAAAUUCUCACUAACAGAGUCUUGGACAAGCUUCUUAUACAAAGAAUGUAAAACGUGUUAAUGAAUAAAUCCAAAUGCAAACUCAUUAUCUUAAGACGACAUAGCAGAAGCAUGAAAACAGUUAUUUUCCCUUAGGAUGUCAACUUCUCAAUUAUAAACAGAGCACCGGAAGAUAUGCUUAGGAGGCAGAUCUUUUAGAUGAGCUAAUUAAGGAUGUUCUAGCUUUUUGUGUGUGUGUAUGCCCAAGUGAACAACGCUAUUGAGGCAGAGGGAACUAGGCAAUUGUUAAGUACCAUUCACAGAUUGUUCAGGUGGUUAAGUUCGGUUCCAGGACAAUGUUUCAAACUCAGCAUGGAAGCAUUUAAAUCAGCAUAAUUUUAGAAGCAAAAAUCUCUUGAAGGCAAGUCAUACCAUCUAAAGGAGAAAUGCAGCUAUCCUCUUUAAAUUGAAAGUACUCAUUUAGAAAAAAUUAGAUUCAGUUAAAUGUUUAAUGUAAGAUUUAGAAACCAGAGUGUUCAGAAUACUUUUGUCUGCAAUUCAAGAAAAAGAAUUUAAGUCUUUUUUUUUUGGUCUAUGCUACAUUUACACUUCAAGCAUUGAGUCUUUCUUAUUAAAUAUGCAUGUACUUAUCAAAACAAAUCCCACUGCUUACGUUAGUCCAUUAUUUUCUCUCAAUAUUUUGCUGCCUGACAAGAACUGAUUGAUAUCAUUAGAAUGACCUAAAGCAGUAAUCUCAGCUGAUGUAUUCAUCUGUUCAGGAGCUGAAAAUAUACCAAUACAAACAUUUUGUUUUGAUAAUAACUCUUUUUAUUCUAUCUUACGAGCAGUAAUAUUAACAAUCAUGUAACAGAGCUGCAAGUCUAUAGCCUUCAGUAUACAAAAUUUCACUGCUGCCUUUUCCUUUGUAAUAUUAAAACUCAAAGUGCCAGUGUUGCAGCAUAAAUGUCUCUUUACUCUCUCUAUGUGUAGGGUAAGAAUGAAGUAUUUGCAAUUAGGUGGAAAACUGGCCAGAAUAUAUUGUAUAUAUAUGCAUGUCAAUUCAUUGCAGAGAUGGAAAUAAAAGCAAUUGAUCAUUCCAGGAAACGUGUCAAAAAACAUAUGGGAAAUUAUACCGUAUAUAUGUUCUUUUACUUUUGUUUAAUAUAGCAAAGUUAAUUUACUCAGUCUUGUUUUAUUAUCAAGAUGCACAUCAGUCAGAUGUGCCAUUAAAAUUUAGUGGUUUUCAAAAUGGAAAGAAGAAUGAAGUCCUAUUAUUUACCAGUAUUCAUAGAUCUACUUUGCUCACAGUAUUUCUAAGCAUGUACUUUCUAUUGGCAAAGAAAGCAUUUUGACUGGCUUGAAAGCUUAAUAUGCUCCCAUGAACUUUUUAUGACUUAAUCAUUAGAAAUAAACUGCUUCAUGAUCUCUGUUACUUGAUGUAAGUCUAUUGUUUUUUUUACAGUUCACUCUUAUUCCAGGAAAUUGAAAUGUCUUGCUGGCAAACCAGCAAAAAUACUUUUGCAGUCAUUUAGUAGCUGCAGAAAAUAGCUUAUCUGAAUCAGACUCUUGAAAUUUAAACAAUUAAAUUUGGCAGUUUCCUGUUCUGAGACAGGUAGUUGUUAACUAGUGUUGAUGCUAAUGAGCUAAUGAGACUCAUUUCUUGUCCUUCAGUACAUGGGUGAGUGUUUGUCCCUGGGAUAUAAAUUCCUCUAGUAGCUUUCGAAACACUGACUAGUUAGCUUACAUCGAUGUCUCACAUGUAUUCAUGCAAGUAAUUAGUAAACUUUAUGAAAAGAAGCCAGGUAGAAGAGGGAGAAUUAGUGUUCCUUCUCUAAAGGAAAAAAUAAUAAUAAUCGGACUGCUUUUAUUAUUAGGUACCUGAGUCUCUUUUGAAGGGAGAUGAUUCCAGCAUGAUGGCAAAGGGGAGACCUUGGAUCACCGUGGAACCUGGAUCAUAAGAUCCAGACUGAAGAGUGGCAGGCCUGCCAAUAUGAUCACAAUUCUUACUGCAGUUAACAGGGAUGUUUUCCAGGGGGUUGCUUGGAUCCUGGCAGAAUUCCAUGAAUACCCCUGAAGAUUUUAACAAAUCCUGUUAAAAAUCUGAGGAAAAAGGUUCCUGAAAACGGGGUAGGUCUUCUGUCAGUUAUUUGCAUCCAUCGUUAACCAAGCUUAGGCUCCUGUGGAAGUGCACCAUAUGCAGGUUUGAUUUCCUUUUAAAAUUACAACCCUUUUACCCUAUGCUUCUCUGCUCAUGGUUCAUCUGAAGAUACAAAGUCUGUUACAGAAGGCAGGUAAGGAGAUAAAAUGGUCAUCACAAAAUAGGAGAAAAUAGACCAAAAAGGAGAUAUACUGAAAUAUUGCAGCAAACAAGUAUCUGCUUCCUAAAGAUUUUAUAUGACAGCUAGAGCUGCUAACAUUAUUCAUGUAUAAAGAAGUUUCCCAGAGCAUCUUUAAGAGCAUAGGCCAUGUACUCUUCAAAUAGCAAAAGUGUUACUGCCCGGUAAGAGAACACCAUAACAAACAUUUUUCUCUUUCUGUGUAAAUAUUGGGGAUGGUUGGAGAAAGGUACCCAACAGUGCAUAGCAAAUAGUGACUCAAAAUGAAUAUUCCAAUAGUGUAUUUCCGAAAGAUAUUACAUUUGAAAAGCAAAAAUCUAAAGUAGAGAUGAUUUGGAUAUGGAUAAAUAUUUAAGUAGUAAAUAGUUCUAGAAAGUAAAAUUGUAUUAAUAAAAUUUUACUGAAGACCUCUAUGGAUAAAGCCUAGUGAAAGCUAGAAUGUCAUAAGUUAUUCAAUUUGUUUGUGAAGUGUUGUCAGUUAAUGAGUGAAAAAGAAAGUGGGCUUAGUCAUAGUGAUUCUUUUCCUUCUUGAAGUUAAGUAAAAGACAGGAAGAUUGUGUUUAGCAAAACAGUUAUUGAGAUCAAAAUGAUUUCUGAGUAUUUAGAUUUUACUUUAGAAGGUAAGUACUGUGAAAUGACCACAUUUUUUCAAUAAACAUUAUUCUGUUCUUAUCUGUGACAUUUACAUUAAUUCAUGAUCAGUUUGUACACUCUUGCCAUCUUAUGUAAACUAGUGUAAAAAUGAAUGAAAUCAUCCAGCUAAAAACUUAGAACCUUCAGAAAGAUAUGAAGUUUUACUCUGAAUGAAUAUGCUUGUGCCUGUCAGUUCUAAGGUAUGUUAGUUAAAUAAGGUUUGUUUCUUGUUCUGACAGUAUAUCAUUUUUCAGUGGUCAGAAUGUGUAAAACAAUGCACAGUGCAAGCACUACCAACAACCUUUGCCCUUUAAAGCACUUAUGUUUUCAUUAGUGAAAAAAUAUGGUCAUAAGAAGAUGUGCUACUAAAUAUUGGCUUAGGUCUGCUGUGAGGUUGGAGAGUAGCAGAGGUUGUUCCACUACAAAUUCUUUGACCUGACUUGUCCAUUAGCUGUUUGAUGUCAUGGUUAUUUGAAUUUCAUUUCAGUAGCAGCACAUUAAUUUUUCCAUUGGGUCUCUUAUCACGAUAAGAUUUUGCAGGUUGGAGAAAUCACAGCAAUAGCAGUCUCUACUUUUUGGAUUAUUUUUUUUUCCUAAACAAAAGUGAUCUGAUACUCUCUCUUUCCUCCAGCCAGGAUGAUUUUCGCUACUGUGUAAUGAGAGAAAUCCUGCAUCUUUGCCUAUUCAUGGGCCUGAAAUACAGCCUACUGCAGCUGAUAAGGUAUAAUGGGUUUCAGUGAGCUUCAGCACCUCUGAACUGAACACAGCGGAGACCCAACAUGACUGAAGUUUCCAAGUCCAACUGUAAGAUUCGCAGGACAGUUCCCCUUCUCCCAGACCCAUUUCAUCUCAGAUAAGGUGUCCUUUUUUUCUUAAGACAAGUGAAUGGGGAAAAACAGAAAACUCCAGACUGUCAUUGCGUUUACCAGGCUGGACUCUCAUCCAAGAUGUCAUUUCUCUCAAGCUGCUUGGUAAGUUCAUAUGACAAAUGACAUAAAAAGGUCACAGAACUGUCACUUCUGUGUUAAAAUAAAAUAGCCUCUCAUUUGCCAGGCUU